CUUGUGUGACCGCGUACUUUUUGUAGAACGGGCCAACGAGUUACGUUAAGUAGCAAGGUUAAGCACUUAAGGUGUGGAGCCGUAGCGAAAGCGAGUUUUAACUGAGCGUUCAGUUACUUGACGUAGACCCGAAACCGGGCGACCUACCCAUGAGCAGGAUGAAGCGAAAGUAAAAUUUCGUGGAGGUCCGAACCCACGAGCGUUGAAAAGCUCGGGGAUGACUUGUGGGUAGCGGUGAAAUUCCAAUCGAGCCCGGAGAUAGCUGGUUCUCCCCGAAAUAGCUUUAGGGCUAGCCUCAAGG
rnacentral:rRNA from 1 species